rnacentral:rRNA from 1 species
CAUGGGCGCAGCCUGAUCCAGCCAUGCCGCGUGCAGGAUGACGGUCCUAUGGAUUGUAAACUGCUUUUAUACAGGAAGAAACACUCCGACGUGUCGGAGCUUGACGGUACUGUAAGAAUAAGGAUCGGCUAACUCCGUGCCAGCAGCCGCGGUAAUACAAGGA